CCUACGGGAGGCAGCAGUAAGGAAUAUUGGUCAAUGGACGCAAGUCUGAACCAGCCAUGCCGCGUGAAGGAUUAAGGUCCUCUGGAUUGUAAACUUCUUUUAUCUGGGACGAAAAAAGGCGAUUCUUCGUCACUUGACGGUACCAGAUGAAUAAGCACCGGCUAACUCCGUGCCAGCAGCCGCGGUAAUACGGAGGGUGCAAGCGUUAUCCGGAUUCACUGGGUUUAAAGGGUGCGUAGGCGGGCAGGUAAGUCAGUGGUGAAAUCCUAGAGCUUAACUCUAGAACUGCCAUUGAUACUAUCUGUCUUGAAUAUUGUGGAGGUAAGCGGAAUAUGUCAUGUAGCGGUGAAAUGCUUAGAUAUGACAUAGAACACCUAUUGCGAAGGCAGCUUACUACGCAUAUAUUGACGCUGAGGCACGAAAGCGUGGGGAUCAAACAGGAUUAGAUACCCUGGUAGUCCACGCCCUAAACGAUGAUUACUCGACAUUUGUGAUACACUAUAAGUGUCUGAGACGAAGANAUAAGUAAUACCACCGAGGAAGUACGACCGACGAGUUAGAACGUACAAGUAGAGUUAGACGGACGUUGAGACGUUGCCGACGGACGACGACGAGGGAGGUAGGG
rnacentral:rRNA from 1 species